GACGAACGCUGGCGGCGUGCCUAAUACAUGCAAGUAGAACGCUGAAGGAGGAGCUUGCUCUUCUGGAUGAGUUGCGAACGGGUGAGUAACGCGUAGGUAACCUGCCUGGUAGCGGGGGAUAACUAUUGGAAACGAUAGCUAAUACCGCAUAACAGUAGAUGUUGCAUGACAUUUGCUUAAAAGGUGCAAUUGCACCACUACCAGAUGGACCUGCGUUGUAUUAGCUAGUUGGUGGGGUAACGUCUCACCAAGGCGACGAUACAUAGCCGACCUGAGAGGGUGAUCGGCCACACUGGGACUGAGACACGGCCCAGACUCCUACGGGAGGCAGCAGUAGGGAAUCUUCGGCAAUGGACGGAAGUCUGACCGAGCAACGCCGCGUGAGUGAAGAAGGUUUUCGGAUCGUAAAGCUCUGUUGUAAGAGAAGAACGAGUGUGAGAGUGGAAAGUUCACACUGUGACGGUAUCUUACCAGAAAGGGACGGCUAACUACGUG
rnacentral:rRNA from 1 species